rnacentral:rRNA from 1 species
CAGCCGCCACGGGAAUACAGAGGGUGCGAGCGUUAAUCGGAUUUACUGGGCGUAAAGCGUGCGUAGGCGGCUUCUUAAGUCGGAUGUGAAAUCCCUGAGCUUAACUUAGGAAUUGCAUUCGAUACUGGGAAGCUAGAGUAUGGGAGAGGAUGGUAGAAUUCCAGGUGUAGCGGUAAAAUGCGUAGAGAUCUGGAGGAAUACCGAUGGCGAAGGCAGCCAUCUGGCCUAAUACUGACGCUGAGGUACGAAAGCAUGGGGAGCAAACAGGAUUAGAUACCCGAGUAGUCCCUGUCUCUUAUAC